CGCGGGAUGGAGCAGCCCGGUAGCUCGUCAGGCUCAUAACCUGAAGGUCGUAGGUUCAAAUCCUACUCCCGCAACCA
rnacentral:tRNA from 529 species